AUGCCUCUGUGGGGGACCGCGUCCGGCCCACCGCCGCCUCUGGCGGAAGGAGGAGGCGCGGAGGGGUCGGGCGGGUCGUCUGGUGCCGCGGCGAUACGGUCGCUGCUGCCUACCAGGCGGCGGCUGCGGCUCGACCCGCCAUCAAAGCUCUACUUCCCAUAUGAGCCUGGCAAGCAAGUCCGUAGCGCGGUGAGGAUCAAGAACGUCAGCAAGUCCCAUGUGGCGUUCAAGUUCCAAACAACAGCACCAAAGAGCUGCUUCAUGAGGCCUCCCGGCGGCAUACUUGCUCCAGGAGAAACCAUCAUAGCUACAGUGUUCAAGUUUGUGGAGCAUCCUGAGAACAACGAGAAGCCUUUAGAUCAGAAGUGCAAGGUCAAGUUCAAGAUUGUUAGCCUGAAAGUUAAAGGGCCUGUGGAGUAUGUUCCAGAAUUGUUCGAUGAGCAGAAAGAUCAGGUUGCAGUUGAGCAAAUUCUGCGGGUUAUUUUCUUGGAUGCUGAGCGUCCUAGCGCACAACUGGACAGACUCAAGCGUCAGCUCGCUGAAGCUGAAGCAGCUCUUGAGGCACGCAAGAAGCCUCCAGAAGACACUAGCCCCCCUAUCGUUGGUGAAGGGCUUGUGAUUGAUGAAUGGAAGGAACGAAGAGAGAGAUAUCUUGCUCGUCAGCAGGUUGAAGAGGUUGAUUCGGUAUAA
rnacentral:rRNA from 1 species